UAUUAUUUCUGCCCAGUGUAUAUAAUAUUAACGGCCGCAGUACUUUGACUGUGCUAAGGUAGCAUAAUCAAUUGGCUUUUAAUUUGAGUCUGGAAUGAAAGGAUUUAUGUGGAUUUACUGUUUCAAAUGUAUAAUAUUGAAUUUAUUAAAAAAGUGAAAAUACUUUUGUAUUAAAAAAAGACGAGAAGACCCUAAGAAUUUUUAGAAUAUAUUUAUACAAUUAUUUCUUUUUGUUGGGGCGACAAUUAAACAAUUAAACUUUAAUUAUUUUUUAAUCGGUUUUUUCAGUAAAAAAUAAAUUACCUUAGGGAUAACAGCAUAAUUUAAUAAA
rnacentral:rRNA from 6 species